rnacentral:rRNA from 1 species
CCAGACUCCUACGGGAGGCAGCAGUGGGGAAUAUUGGGCAAUGGGCGCAAGCCUGACCCAGCAACGCCGCGUGAAGGAAGAAGGCUUUCGGGUUGUAAACUCCUUUUGUCAGGGACGAAGCAAGUGACGGUACCUGACGAAUAAGCCACGGCUAACUACGUGCCAGCAGCCGCGGUAAUACGUAGGUGGCAAGCGUUAUCCGGAUUUACUGGGUGUAAAGGGCGUGUAGGCGGGACUGCAAGUCAGAUGUGAAAAUUAUGGGCUCAACCCAUAACCUGCAUUUGAAACUGUAGUUCUUGAGUGAUGGAGAGGCAGGCGGAAUUCCGUGUGUAGCGGUGAAAUGCGUAGAUAUACGGAGGAACACCAGUGGCGAAGGCGGCUUACUGGACUGUAAAUGACGCUGAGGCUCGAAAGCGUGGGGAGCAAACAGGAUUAGAUACCCCUGUA